rnacentral:rRNA from 1 species
UACGGGGGGGGCAAGCGUUGUUCGGAAUUACUGGGCGUAAAGGGCGCGUAGGCGGUUCGCUAAGUUGGAUGUGAAAACUCUGGGCUCAACCCAGAGCCUGCAUCCAAAACUGGCGGGCUAGAGUUCUGGAGGGGGUAGCGGAAUUCCUGGUGUAGCGGUGAAAUGCGUAGAUAUCAGGAGGAACACCGGUGGCGAAGGCGGCUACCUGGACAGAAACUGACGCUGAGGCACGAAAGCUAGGGGAGCAAACAGG